rnacentral:rRNA from 1 species
AAAGUCCCGCAAGGGAUCAGUAGAGUGGCAAACGGGUGAGUAACGCGUGGGUGACCUGCCUUCGAGCGGGGGAUAACGUUCCGAAAGGGACGCUAAUACCGCAUGACAUCCUGCCUUUCAAGAGGUGGAGAUCAAAGCCGGGGAUCGCAAGACCUGGCACUCGAAGAGGGGCCCGCGUCCGAUUAGCUAGUUGGUGAGGUAACGGCUCACCAAGGCGACGAUCGGUAGCCGGCCUAAGAGGGCGGACGGCCACACUGGGACUGAGACACGGCCCAGACUCCUACGGGAGGCAGCAGUGGGGAAUUGUUCGCAAUGGGCGCAAGCCUGACGACGCAACGCCGCGUGGAGGAUGAAGAUCUUCGGGUCGUAAACUCCUUUCGAUCGAGACGAAUUCCUCCGGGGUGAACAAUCCCGGGGGUUGACGGUACCGAGAGAAGAAGCCCCGGCUAACUCCGUGCCAGCAGCCGCGGUAAUACGGGGGGGGCAAGCGUUGUUCGGAAUUACUGGGCGUAAAGGGCUCGUAGGCGGCCAACUAAGUCAGACGUGAAAUCCCUCGGCUCAACCGGGGAACUGCGUCUGAAACUGGAUGGCUCGAGUUUGGGAGAGGGAUGCGGAAUUCCAGGUGUAGCGGUGAAAUGCGUAGAUAUCUGGAGGAACACCGGUGGCGAAGGCGGCAUCCUGGACCAACACUGACGCUGAGGAGCGAAAGCCAGGGGAGCAAACGGGAUUAGAUACCCCGGUAGUCCUGGCCCUAAACGAUGAAUGCUUGGUGUGGCGGGUAUCGAUCCCUGCCGUGCCGAAGCUAACGCAUUAAGCAUUCCGCCUGGGGAGUACGGUCGCAAGGCUG